GAGAUUGCAAAAGGCCACCCUACACAACUGUUUACAUGGGCCCUGGAGCCCAUGUGUCCUCAUCUCCAAGGGGUUGGGGUGAUACUGCCAUGCCCGUGCUGGACGUGCAGCAUUGUCUUGAAAAAUGAUCCCCCGACUCUUGUCUCCCUCAGGACAGUCUUCCGUGUUUCACAUCACAACUGUGGGGAAGGAAGCCGGCCAGGCAUGGGGAAACUCCGCCUCUGCCCUCCAAGUCACUUCCGCGCAGAAGCCAACCAGGGGACCCCGCAAACGGCCAGCAGAGGUCCCCAGACCUGNNNNNNNNNNC
rnacentral:lncRNA from 1 species